GCCAUGCAUGUCUCAGUGUAAGCUUCAAUAUGGCAAGACUGUGAAUGGCUCAUUAAAACAGUUGUAGCUUAUUUGGCUGUCUUUUACAUGGAUAACCGUGGUAAUUCUAGAACUAAUACAUGUGCAACUACCCAACUUUCGGACGGGUCGUGUUUAUUUGUAACAGAACCAAUCCAGGUCUACCUGGUUUAGUGGUGAUUCACAAUAACUGCAUGAAUUGCGUGGCACCAGCUGGUGAUGAAUCAUUCAAGCUUCUGACCUAUCAGCUUCCGACGGUAGGGUAUUGGCCUACCCUGGCAAUGACGGGUAACGGAGAAUUAGGGUUCGAUACCGGAGAGGGAGCCUGAGAAACGGCUACCACAUCUAAGGAAGGCAGCAGGCGCGUAAAUUACCCAAUCCUGACACAGAGAGGUAGUGACAAGAAAUAACAAUACAGGGCAUCCAUGUCUUGUAAUUGGAAUGAAUAGAAUGUAAACCACUUUAUGAGUAUCGAUU
rnacentral:rRNA from 1 species